UGGGGGCCAGUCGCAAAGCAAGAUCC
rnacentral:piRNA from 1 species